UGACUCUUAACCCCCCAUUCUCACCAUCGCUGCCUUCAGAUCCUCCCCUCGAAUAAGAGAGGUAUCGUUACGUUCUAGCUCGCCGUUUGAUCCUAAAGAGGUAUCAUUAGCUUCUCUCGUGUUGCUUAUUUCAGAUUCAGAUAAACUCACGGCCAGUAUGCUUCUAGCUCAAGUCGACGAAACCUAUGGCGCCGAUGAAGGGUUUUGGGGUUCAGAAAGUGAAGCGUUGAAGAGAAAGCUAGCGAAAGCAAAAGCCGGCUUUGUCGCUGCUGUUGUUUUUGACGCAGUGACGCUUUUGUUCUUUUAGUGGUCCUUUGAUAGGUGAAGAAGCAAGCGGUGGCAAGAGAGGUGGCGCAAUAUUCCAGCUUGAGAAGAACGAGGAAGCUAGAGCACAUUAAUGAGGUCGAUUGGGCUGCCAAUCAACAAAGAAGCGUCCUGUGAUAAAAAGAAAUUAUAUUAAAAUUGGAAAGUAAAGGAAUAACACGUGGAAAUUAAAAGGAA
rnacentral:lncRNA from 1 species